UACGUAGGGUGCGAGCGUUAAUCGGAAUUACUGGGCGUAAAGUGUGCGCAGGCGGCCAUGCAAGUCGAGUGUGAAAGCCCCGGGCUUAACUUGGGAAUUGCGCUCGAAACUACGUGGCUGGAGUGUGGCAGAGGAAGGUGGAAUUCCACGUGUAGCGGUGAAAUGCGUAGAGAUGUGGAGGAACACCAAUGGCGAAGGCAGCCUUCUGGGCCAACACUGACGCUCAUGCACGAAAGCGUGGGGAUCAAACAGG
rnacentral:rRNA from 1 species